AUGGAUGGGAACACCAGAGGAGGCGGACAUUCUGAAGCAUUGAAGAACUACAAUGUGGGCAAAACAUUAGGUCAUGGCACAUUCGGAAAAGUGAUGAUUGCAGAGCAUAAGCUUACAGGACAGAAAGUUGCUAUAAAGAUUCUGAACCGUCGUCAAAUGGAAAUUAUGGAAAUGGAAGAGAAAGCAAAGAGAGAAAUCAAGAUAUUGAGGUUGUUCAUUGACUUAAUUCACCCUCAUAUCAUCCGGGUUUAUGAGGUCAUUGAGACACCUAAGGAUAUAUUUGUUGUGAUGGAAUAUUGCCAGAAUGGUGAGUUAUUGGAUUACAUUGUUGAGAAAGGGCGGUUACAGGAAGAUGAAGCUCGUCGAAUCUUCCAGCAGAUUAUAUCUGGUGUUGAAUACUGCCACAGAAACAUGGUUGUUCAUCGUGAUCUAAAGCCAGAAAACUUGUUACUUGAUUCUAAAUAUAAUGUGAAACUUGUUGACUUUGGGUUAAGUAAUGUGAUGCAUGAUGGCCAUUUUUUGAAGACUAGAUGCGGGAGUCUAAACUAUGCUGCACCAGAGCUUAUCUCAGGUAACUUGUACGCUGGACCUGAGGUUGAUGUCUGGAGCUGUGGGGUGAUACUUUAUGCUCUUCUUUGUGGCAGAGUUCCAUUUGAGGAUGACAAUAUUCCCAACCUGUUCAAAAAGAUAAAGGGAGGUUUCUAUAUCCUUCCAAGUUAUUUAUCUGAUCUUGCAAUGGAUUUGAUCCCAAGAAUACUUAUUGUUGAUCCCAUAAAGAGAAUCACAAUUCGUGGAAUUCGGGACCACCCAUGGUUUCAGAAUCGCCUUCCUCGCUCCCUGGCAGUGACUCCACCAAACACGCCACAACAAGCCAAAAUGAUUGAUGAAAAAACACUUCAAGACGUUGUCAAUCUGGGAUAUGAUAAAUAUCAUGUGGGUGGUUCGCUGUGUAAUAGGCUGCAAAAUGAGGCAACUGUUGCAUAUUACUUGCUCUUGGACAAUCGGUUCCGGGCUACUAGUGGCUAUUUGGGGGCUGACUAUCAACAACCAAUGGAUAGGAGUUUUAAUCAGAUUACUUUAUCGGAAUCAGCAAGGCCUAGUACCAAGAAUUAUCUUCUAGGAAGCAAUGGUUCUCAAGGCAGUGGCUUGCGGCCAUAUUACCCCGUUCAAAGGAAAUGGGCUCUUGGCCUCCAGUCUCCAGCUCACCCUCGUGAUAUAAUGAUUGAGGUUCUAAAGGCACUUCAGGAACUAAAUGUCCGCUGGAAGAAGAAUGGAGACCACAACAUGAAAUGCAGGUGGUGCCCUGGGUUUCCUCAGGUCAGUGAUAUGUUAGAUGCCAACCACAGCUUUGUUGAUGGCUCUACCAUCAUGGAUAUUGGCGAUGCUAAUGGGAGGCUACCUACUGUGAUCAAGUUUGAAAUCCAGCUUUACAAGACCAAGGAUGACAAGUACCUGCUCGACAUGCAGAGAGUCACUGGACCCCAGCUCCUCUUCCUGGAAUUUUGUGCGGCCUUCCUUACCAACCUUAGGGUUCUAUAG
rnacentral:rRNA from 1 species